rnacentral:rRNA from 1 species
CCUACGGGUGGCAGCAGUAGGGAAUAUUGCUCAAUGGGGGAAACCCUGAAGCAGCAACGCCGCGUGGAGGAUGAAGGUAUUCGGUUUGUAAACCCCUUUUGGUAGAGAAGCAAAUGACGGUACCUAUCGAAUAAGCACCGGCUAACUCCGGGCCAGCAGCCGCGGUAAUACGGAGGGUGCAAGCGUGAUUCGGAUUCACUGGGCGUAAGGGGCGCGUAGGCGGGAUAGCAAGUCAGGAGGGAAAAGCUAGGGCUCAACCACAGCACUGCAGUUGAAACUGUAAUUCUAGAGUAUGGGAGAGGUAGGUGGAAUUCUUGGUGUAGGGGUGAAAUCCGUAGAGAUCAAGAGGAAUACUGAUUGCGAAGGCGGCAUGCUGGAACAUAACUGACGCUGAGGCGCGAAAGCGUGGGGAGCGAACAGGAUUAGAUACCCCAGUAGUC